rnacentral:lncRNA from 1 species
AUUGUUUUUAUACAAAACAAACAAAUACCAAAUGUAUUUUACUGUAUUUUCCCCACAAAUACAGUUUACACAGAGUUCAUACCAACCAACACAAAGUAGCAGAUAACGUGGUCUACAUAUACCGUCAACAGAAGUAUUUACUGAAUCCAGUCACAGUAAAAAAAAAAAAUAAUAAAAUAAAUAAACAGCUAUACUGCAUCCUCUUUUCUGUUUUGGUCUGGCCAAGCAGUGGGGGAAAUGUCACCUUGCAUGGCGAAUCCAGCCACGAAAAGCAUCAACUGCUAUGGCUUGGAGAAGGGGUGUGUGUGGAUUUCGUGCAUACACUUUACAUCUCCAGGCAGAAAAUAAAUCCUCAAUAGGUUUGAGGGAUGGAGAAUAUGGAGGGGGAGAUAAACAACUAAAAAACAUGGGUGGGCAGUAAAUCAGUUAUGAAUCAGAUAAGCUCUAAUUUCUAAAUUGCAAUUUUGUGUGACAGGUGUUUACUCAUGUGAUAAGUUAUAAUGCAAAGUAGAAAAACUGACUUUACAAUUGUGAAUGACAGUGUUUUCCUUCUGAAAACAAAAGAUUUUCUGCAUGAAAAUUGUGCAAAAUGCAGAGAAUUGAAGGUUGUGUUUUGACAAAAAGUGUGUUUGAAACCUGCAAUUUGAGUGUAAAGCAGGAAUUGUGCUUGUAGUUAAGCAGAAUUGGAUAAGGGGGUUUGGGCAUCAGUUACAUGUUGUAGUCAUUGUGUCUGAAGUACAAGUUAUAGUGUGUAAACAAUUGGAAAAAACUGUAAUA